UGAAGGUAUUUUUUGGCAAAGUGUCAAACUUUUUGAUGAUUUUAAAUCAUUUAUUGUGAAACAAUAAUGUUUUCGGCAAGAGAAUACUGCGACAUGUACUUAUGGUUUAUGGUGCAAGUGAAGGAAAUGCUUUAGAUGCGGUGAGACAAUAUGGCAUCUGAUAUCCCCAGCAACGACAACCAGGCAUUAAUAUUUUUCGACGACUCGAUCAGAGACUUCGAGAAAAUCGCACUCCGAUUCCGGAAUAUAAAGGAAUCCAUCCUGGAAGGCCUCGCGUAAGAAGAACUGUUGAGACAGAGAAAGCAAUUAUUGAUGCGGUUGCCGAAAUCCAAGCAUCAGUUGUCGUCAGAAAAAUUUUAUGGACGGAUGAAUCUUUAUUUUCCAACAACGGAAUUUUUAAUAGGCACAAUCACCAUUAUUACGCAAUAAAUAAUCCAUUUUUGAAUUUUGAAACGGGACGUCAGCACAGAUUUUCGUUGAAUAUCGGCUAGGAUUUUUUGCAAUUUGAUUUAGAAAAUCAUUUAUUGGAUGAUGUGCCUCUGGCAGUCAGAAGAGAGAUGUGGCUACAAAUGGACGGUGCUGGUUCUCAUUACGCUGUACCAGUUCGAAAAUGGCUUAACGAAAAUUACGAAAAUAGGCGGUUAGGCCGCGGCAGUGCUACUCCUUGGCCGGGUAGGUCUCCAGGCUUAAAUUCUGUUGAUUUUUUUAUAGGGCCAUAUCAAAGACAUUGUAUUUACUCCACCAGUGCUGGAAAAUCUAGCCACUUUGCGAAAAAGAUUUUUUGUAGCCUUUAACUCAGUUACUCUGGACAUGUUAGAACGUACCACAAAUUCGGUUAAAAGACGUGCCGAAGCCUGCUUAUUAGCAAAUGGCAGAACAUUUCAACAUUUAUUAUAAAAUACAUUGUUUGUUUUUAAUUUUACUGUUUAUUAAAUUGCUUUGUUCCUAAAUUAGUUUUCCCUAAUUGUUGUAAAAAUAUCUAUCUAUUCCGGUUCCCAAGGAAACAUUUGUACCUGAUGCUAAUUUCGACUAUCGCUAUUGAAGUAACAUAGCACAAUGUUGCCGCUUUGGUCAUUACUUUUUAAAGAAUUACUG